rnacentral:misc_RNA from 1 species
ACUGUGUGUAAAUGCUCCAUGCCUG